AAACCAUGAUAUGGACACUUACGUAGCAUUAUCUUAAAGCGCUCUCAUGCCUCGUAUAAUCACUCUUCUUCCAAAUGACAAAAAUUAGUAAUAUCUAUUCGAAGCUU
rfam:Gossypium hirsutum cultivar TM-1 unplaced genomic scaffold scaffold3195.1, whole genome shotgun sequence